CUUUUGUUAAACUUUAUUAGCUUGUCCUGCAAUUUUGGCCUAAAUGUUUUUCAUUAUCUUGCACUUGCCUUCCAUUUGGACUUGUAUAGUGUGAUAUUCUCCCCCUGUUACUCUCCCCCCGAAUUAACCCUGUAUUUUCUGCUUUAUUAAACUGUUUCUGUUGCUGGCACAUUUUCUUUCCUAUGCUUUACUCUGGUCUCGGCGAUCGCUGCAUUUUACUGCGGGCACGCUUUUUAUUCAUUGGUGCUGGGACUUCAGGGCAGGUCUCUGGG